rnacentral:misc_RNA from 1 species
GAUGAAGAACGCAGCGAAAUGCGAUACGUAAUGUGAAUUGCAGAAUUCAGUGAAUCAUCGAAUCUUUGAACGCACCUUGCGCCUUUUGGUAUUCCGAAAGGCAUGCCUGUUUGAGUGUCAUGAAAUCUCAAUCCCCCCGGGUUUAUGAUCUGGGUUGGGACUUGGACUUGGGUGCUGCCGGUUACAUGGCUCGCCUCAAAUGACUUAGCGGAUCUCUCUGCAUCCGUGACAGACGUAAUAAGUUUCGUCUUGUCCCUUGCUGUCUGAGUCUGCUCCUAACCUGCCAUUGUGCACUUUUAGACUCUGACCUCAAAUCAGGUAGGACUACCCGCUGAACUUAAGCAUAUCAAUAAGCGGAGGA